GACGAACGCUGGCGGCGUGCUUAACACAUGCAAGUCGAACGGAAAGGCCCUGCUUUUGUGGGGUGCUCGAGUGGCGAACGGGUGAGUAACACGUGAGUAACCUGCCCUUGACUUUGGGAUAACUUCAGGAAACUGGGGCUAAUACCGGAUAGGAGCUCCUGCUGCAUGGUGGGGGUUGGAAAGUUUCGGCGGUUGGGGAUGGACUCGCGGCUUAUCAGCUUGUUGGUGGGGUAGUGGCUUACCAAGGCUUUGACGGGUAGCCGGCCUGAGAGGGUGACCGGCCACAUUGGGACUGAGAUACGGCCCAGACUCCUACGGGAGGCAGCAGUGGGGAAUAUUGCACAAUGGGCGGAAGCCUGAUGCAGCAACGCCGCGUGCGGGAUGACGGCCUUCGGGUUGUAAACCGCUUUCGCCUGUGACGAAGCGUGAGUGACGGUAAUGGGUAAAGAAGCACCGGCUAACUACGUGCCAGCAGCCGCGGUGAUACGUAGGGUGCGAGCGUUGUCCGGAUUUAUUGGGCGUAAAGGGCUCGUAGGUGGUUGAUCGCGUCGGAAGUGUAAUCUUGGGGCUUAACCCUGAGCGUGCUUUCGAUACGGGUUGACUUGAGGAAGGUAGGGGAGAAUGGAAUUCCUGGUGGAGCGGUGGAAUGCGCAGAUAUCAGGAGGAACACCAGUGGCGAAGGCGGUUCUCUGGGCCUUUCCUGACGCUGAGGAGCGAAAGCGUGGGGAGCGAACAGGCUUAGAUACCCUGGUAGUCCACGCUGUAAACGGUGGGUACUAGGUGUGGGGUCCAUUCCACGGGUUCCGUGCCGUAGCUAACGCUUUAAGUACCCCGCCUGGGGAGUACGGCCGCAAGGCUAAAACUCAAAGGAAUUGACGGGGCCCCGCACAAGCGGCGGAGCAUGCGGAUUAAUUCGAUGCAACGCGUAGAACCUUACCUGGGUUUGACAUGGAUCGGGAGUGCUCAGAGAUGGGUGUGCCUCUUUUGGGGUCGGUUCACAGGUGGUGCAUGCCUGUCGUCAGCUCGUAUCGUGAGAUGUUGGGUUAAGUCCCGCGACGAGCGCAACCCUUGUUCACUGUUGCCAGCACGUUAUGGUGGGGACUCAGUGGAGACCGCCGGGGUCAACUCGGAGGAAGGUGGGGAUGACGUCAAGUCCUCAUGCCCCUUAUGUCCAGGGCUUCACGCAUGCUACAAUGGCUGGUACAGAGAGUGGCGAGCCUGUGAGGGUGAGCGAAUCUCGGAAAGCCGGUCUCAGUUCGGAUUGGGGUCUGCAACUCGACCUCAUGAAGUCGGAGUCGCUAGUAAUCGCAGAUCAGCAACGCUGCGGUGAAUACGUUCCCGGGGCC
rnacentral:rRNA from 1 species